UACGUAGGGUGCAAGCGUUGUCCGGAAUUAUUGGGCGUAAAGAGCUCGUAGGCGGUUUGUCGCGUCUGCCGUGAAAGUCCGGGGCUCAACUCCGGAUCUGCGGUGGGUACGGGCAGACUAGAGUGAUGUAGGGGAGACUGGAAUUCCUGGUGUAGCGGUGAAAUGCGCAGAUAUCAGGAGGAACACCGAUGGCGAAGGCAGGUCUCUGGGCCACUACUGACGCUGAGAAGCGAAAGCAUGGGGAGCGAACAGGA
rnacentral:rRNA from 1 species